CGCGCCAGGGCCGAAGGUAGCAGCAGCAGCGAUU
rnacentral:SRP_RNA from 12 species